rnacentral:rRNA from 1 species
UCANAGGAAUUUGUCUUUUAAUCGUCAUUACCCGAUUAUUUUCACUUUUUUUCAUUUUCUAUACCGCCGUCUUAAGAACAAAUUCCAGAGUUUGCUCUUAAACUCUUUUGGUAAGUCAGGUCAAGGUGGAGACUAUAAGAAAGAAUAGAUUAAUUAUUUAUAAAUCAUAUUUAAAGUCGCUUUUCUAAAGAGAUUCUAAAUCAAGAUUUGAAAGUAGUUUUUUAUUAAAGAUUUAAAACAAACUUUGUUUAGGUGUACAUAUCGCCCGUCACCCUCGUCCAAAGAUGAGGUAAGUCGUAACAUAGUUAGUGUACUGGAAAGUGUACUAAGGGGGUUUAAAAGCUUUAGCGUUUCAUUUACACAGAAAAGAAUGUUUACAAAAUUUUUCUAUUGUUUAUUAUUUAAAAUAAUAUUUUUAAAAUUUUAAUUCUAGUCUUUUUUUUUGUCACCGUAGGGGGUCUAUAAAUUGUUUUUAAGAAAUUUUUAUUUCUACCUUUUGUAUCAGGGUGCCUCAAACCUCCCCUUAAAAAAGUUCAUCCCGAAAUAAAAUGAGCUACUUCUUUCUUUAUACUUUGUAGCAAAAAAAUAGUAAAAAUUUAGUAGAAGUGAAAUUCUAUCCGUAUUUUUUUUUAUCUGGUUUUUUCAGAGAGUAUUAUUACUAAAAUCUAAAAAGGGACAAUCUUUUUCAGUCAUUUUAUUUCUUUCUUCUUUAUUAUUUUAGGAUUAGUAGUGUCUUUUUGUGUAAAAACUUUAUUUAUUAUAUCAAAUAAAUAAAAUUAUGAAAUUUUUAUCUUUUUAUAAAAAUAAUGAUUUAAUCAGUAAAGAUCGAUUUAAACUUAUUUAAUUAAAUUUAUUAAAAUAACUCUUUAAAUUUUUAUUCAUGAACUCGGCUAAGUUUUCUGACUGUUUACCAAAAACAUUUCUGAAUGCUUUUUCUUUUCAGUAAGACCUGCUCAAUGAUAUUUCAAUAGCCGCGAUUACGUGCUAAGGUAGCAUAAUCAAUUGCCUUAUAAUUUAAGGCUAGAAUGAAAGGUUUAACAUGAUAACUUCUUUAUAAAUAAAAAUUCUUUAAUUUUACUUUUAAGUAAAAAGGCUUAUAUUACCAAGGAAGACGACAAGACCCUGACGAGCUUUACUUAAUUUAGUUGAACUGGGGUGGUAAAAAACUAAAUCUUUUAAUUCCGUUAAUUUAUAUCCUUUAUAAAAGAUCUCAAGUUACCGCAGGGAUAACAGCAUAAUUUUUUUCUAGAGACCUUAUCUAAAAAAAAGAUUGUGACCUCGAUGUUGAAUUAAUU